GAAGAAUGAACUGCUCCUUCUCCCAUACCCAUUGCAUAUCGGAGUUGUGAAUUCUCAAAGCACCUCCUGUGUGCAUGGAUUACAGGAGGGCGAGCCUUGUCAUCAU
rnacentral:pre_miRNA from 12 species